rnacentral:rRNA from 1 species
AUUGAACGCUGGCGGCAGGCUUAACACAUGCAAGUCGAGCGGGGGAGGUUGCUUCGGUAACUGACCUAGCGGCGGACGGGCGAGUAAUACUUAGGAAUCUGCCUAUUAAUGGGGGACAACAUCUCGAAAGGGAUGCUAAUACCGCAUACGCCCUACGGGGGACAGCAGGGGAUCACUUGUGACCUUGCCGCAAUAGAUGAGCCUAAGUCGGAUUAGCUAGUUGGUGGGGUAAAGGCCUACCAGGGCGACGAUCUGUAGCGGGUCUGUGAGGGUGAUCCGCCACACUGGACCUGAGACACGGCCCAGACUCCUACGGGAGGCAGCAGUGGGGAAUAUUGGACAAUGGGGGGAACCCUGAUCCAGCCAUGCCGCGUGUGUGAAGAAGGCCUUAUGGUUGUAAAGCACUUUAAGCGAGGAGGAGGCUCUUUUGGUUAAUACCCAAGAUGAGUGGACGUUACUCGCAGAAUAAGCACCGGCUAACUCUGUGCCAGCAGCCGCCGUAAAAC